rnacentral:rRNA from 1 species
GUUGGAAACGACUGCUAAAACCCUAUAUGCCUUUAAAACAUAAGUUUGCAAGGGAAAUAUUUAUAGCUCGAAGAUCGGCCUGUACGGUAUCAGCUUGUUGGUGAGGUAAUGGCUCACCAAGGCAAUGACGCCUAACUGGUUUGAGAGGAUGAUCAGUCACACUGGAACUGAGACACGGUCCAGACUCCUACGGGAGGCAGCAGUGGGGAAUAUUGCACAAUGGGGGAAACCCUGAUGCAGCAACGCCGCGUGGAGGAUGACACAUUUCGGUGCGUAAACUCCUUUUAUAUAGGAAGAUAAUGACGGUACUAUAUGAAUAAGCGCCGGCUAACUCCGUGCCAGCAGCCGCGGUAAUACGGAGGGCGCAAGCGUUACUCGGAAUCACUGGGCGUAAAGAGCGUGUAGGCGGAUAGAUAAGUUGGGAGUGAAAUCCUAUGGCUCAACCAUAGAACUGCUUCCAAAACUGUCUAUCUAGAGUAUGGGAGAGGUAGAUGGAAUUUCUGGUGUAGGGGUAAAAUCCGUAGAGAUCAGAAGGAAUACCGAUUGCGAAGGCGAUCUACUGGAACAUUACUGACGCUGAGACGCGAAA